UUAUGACCUGGGCUACACACGUGCUACAAUGGUUGGUACAACGAGUUGCGAGUCGGUGACGGCGAGCUAAUCUCUUAAAGCCAAUCUCAGUUCGGAUUGUAGGCUGCAACUCGCCUACAUGAAGUCGGAAUCGCUAGUAAUCGCGGAUCAGCACGCCGCGGUGAAUACGUUCCCGGGCCUU
rnacentral:rRNA from 1 species